UACGUAGGUGGCGAGCGUUGUCCGGAUUUACUGGGCGUAAAGAGCGCGCAGGCGGUCGUGCAAGUCGCGUGUGAGAGCCCCCGGCUCAACUGGGGAGGGUCACGCGAUACUGCUCGACUCGAAGGCAGGAGAGGGAAGUGGAAUUCCCGGUGUAGUGGUGAAAUGCGUAGAUAUCGGGAGGAACACCAGUGGCGAAGGCGACUACCUGGCCUGUUCUUGACGCUGAGGCGCGAAAGCCAGGGGAGCAAACGGG
rnacentral:rRNA from 1 species